rnacentral:rRNA from 1 species
AACGAACGCUGGCGGCAUGCCUAACACAUGCAAGUCGAACGAGACCUCCGGGUCUUGUGGCGCACGGGUGCGUAACGCGUGGGAACCUUCCCAUAUGUUCGGCAUACCUCCCCGAAAGGGGUGCCAACACCGGAUAAGGUCUUCGGACCAAAGAUUUAUUGCCUUUGGAGGGGCCCGCGUUGGAUUCGCUAGUUGGGAGGGUAAAAGCCUACCACGGCGCCGAUCCAUAGCUGGUAUGAGAGGAUGAUCAGCCACACUGGGACUGGGACACGGCCCAGAAUCCUACGGGAGGGAGGAGUGGGGAAUAGUGGAAAAUGGGCGGAAGGCUGAACCAGCUAGGCCGGGUGAGUGAUGAAGGCCGUAGGGUUGUAAAGCUCUUUUACCCGGGAUGAUAAUGACAGUACCGGGAGAAUAAGCGCCGGCUAACUCCGUG